rnacentral:sRNA from 1 species
GGCCAGGCGCCGGCGACCUGAGGGGAGAGGGAGCGCAGCUGAAAGCGUGAACUGUGAGAUGCUUUUGACAAGUUAUAAUAAGGGAGAGAUGGUAGUAAAGGAAGUGAAGAAGCGACGUGAAAUUGAAGGAAAAGAAAAUGACCUGCCUCCUUACCGCGGUUGGAAUACACACCCAAACGAGAGACUACAGAUUUCAUUAAUCCUUUGUGAAAUAUAUGGCAAAUAUUUUCAAGAAUUAUCAAUGCUUUGGUUUAAAAUGCCCAGGCUUUUUAUCUCAGCGAAUUGCUGGCUUCCCCAGAAUAGUGGUAAAUAAAACAGUGAUUCUGGCCAUCCUUUAUCUUGUUUCUUAGUUUGGGGAUGUUUUUAUUAUGUCAUCAUUAAAUAUGAAGUUACUAUUAAUAUCUAAUAAAUUAUAUUAGGGAAGUUUCCUUUAAUAUUUCUAGCUCAUUGUGAUUUUUGCAGAGAACUGUUUGGAUUGCAUCCAAAGUCAUUUUUGCAACUGGGGAUGGGGAGUGUCUAUUGUAUUAGAUAGCACUUUGAGAACAAUUUUAAAUAACAGAUAUUGGAUGUUCAUUUGGUGUGUAUAUUCAUUACUUCUUAACAUUUUUAUCAGGAAUGGAAGUUGGAUUUUG